CAACAGGUGAACAUCUUCAGAUAGUUUCAGAUUCAGUUCAGGCGCCUGACACCGCGGAUGGUCGUCGGCCAUCUCGGACCACGGCGCGUUUCUGCGCCGCCGCCGAGGAUCAUGUGGUGCUUUUCUAUAUGAUAAUGCAUACUCAUCAUUUGAUGGCGAGGUAUAUUGAUUGGAUUUGCUCCGGUCGUCAUCACUUCAAAUGUUCAGAAAGUAUGUUAUACGUCUCUAAACUCCUUACGCCUAGUGUUACCUAAUCCCCGUACUGGAGUAACUCCCUUCGCUCAAUUCUCAAACAAGCUGAUGGGGAUUUUGGUCUAUAAGCCAUUGAAGAUCGAUCAUGACUUUGGAAGAAUAGUUUUAGCUGCAAGGUGAGAGUUCAACCCUCUAGAUACUGCGGAAAUACUUUGUUUUAUCAGGUUUUUUAGGUGUGUUGGUCUCUUUCAAAAAGGAGCCAGCUUAGGAGGCCCAGCUGCACCUCCACAACAGUAGGACCAUAGGAGUUCAAUCAGCCCCACCUCUCUGAUUCACCACAUCUUUGUAGAGCUAUGCAUUGCUUGCACAGAUAAAUUUAGUCGCAAAGCUCUUGAUAGCUCUUGUUUUGUAAUACAUAUACAAACAAAAAGGGAUUUUAGACAUCUGCCAAUGUCUAGAAAUGAAUUUUCUUGACUUGAACACUAACAACCCAGAAACAAUAUUUGGGUUUGAAGUUCACUAUUUCAAAGAUCAUUUUCUUCACAAAUUGUGUUGCGCCAUCAUAUGCUUUUGUUUAAGUUUAGGUUGAGUACUAGUUAUUACUACACAUGCUGGACCCUUUAAGAAUGGUGUGGAAAGAGGUGGAAACUUGGAACUCGAAA